rnacentral:tRNA from 1 species
GCUCCGGUAGCUCAGUCUGGAUUAGAGCACUUCCCUCCUAAGGAAGGGGUCGCAGGUUCGAAUCCUGUCCGGAGCG